UUUAAGGCCUCCUUCACAUGAACUUUGAGAGCAUGAUGACCAUGGGUUGUGUUUGUCAUCCCCCUUUUUUUUUGUCGUGGUAAUGGAGCACCGUAAUGUUCAGGUAGUGUCGGCACAAUGAGCUCUCACCAAAGACCUGGAACUCCCAAGGGCUGUUAUUUGUCCAAGACUGAGUGGCUAAAGUCCUUUGGUGGUAUUAGGUUGCACGCAUGUAGUACUCAAACGGGUGGCGCACCUGAUGUGGUGAAUUCACAGGACUACAGUGAAUUCUUUCAAGUUCUGCUCCCUUGAACAUACUGAAGCUGGUAGUUAGUUCCAUGACUGACCAUAAAGGUCACUUAAAUUGCAUCUGAGAAGUUGAACUGGCUGAAACCUGAUGUUCAUCCCUGUACUAUAGAUCUGCUGAACUGAAGUGUUGACUGGCGUUAGUAACUGAGUGUUUUUCUUUUUACUUUUUAUUCCUAAGAUUGCAAAAUAAAUGGCUCUUCUGAAUUUGCCGUUUCAAAUACA